CAUAAUUGCAAAGUCAAAAUACAAAAAGAAAAGCUCCAAAGCAUAUUUUAAAGGAAAGAAUCAAGCAUUAUUAAGUAACUGGAAAAGAGAACGAAGGGAAGGAUAUUUAAAAGGAAAAGGACUACAAAUAUGAAAAUAUCGUCAGUGGAGCUUGAGGCCCAGAGGAUGUAAUGGAAGAGUAUGUGUACAAAUCAAUUUUCAACAAUGAUUGAAAGGGCAGCAGUCAUGAACAAAGAAAAUUCUCUGGUUCUUCCUUGUUGAGUUUAGAAUGUGAAUCGACAACUUUAGGCCCAAUGUGGAUCAGGAUGAUAGACACUCAGAAACCAAGGAGACCACAAAGAAAAGACUGAACUAAAAGAACACUGUUCUUGCAAUUCAGACCUGAUAGCUGGAGCACCAGCAGAUAAAUCUUGGAUCAUAAUGGUAGAAUAAAAGAAAUUCACCAUCAUAAUCAAGCUUUUGAAAUAUAAAAACAAAGAAAAAAUAUCGAAAGCACCAAGAGAGAAGAGACACCUUGUUGAAUGGGGAUAAACAAUUAGGGUGACAACAGAUUUCUCAACUGAAUUCAGGGAGGCCAAAAGAAAAUGGCACAGUAUCUUUUAACUCUGAAAAAUAACUGUGGCCCAAAUUCCUGUAUCAAAUAAAAUCUAGCUUUUAGCAAUGAAGAGAAAAAAAUCAAGAACUUCUUAAAUAAUUUGUCAUUAGAAUGGCAAAAAAAAUCACCUAAAUAAAAGAAAAUAACCAAGAAAGGAAUCUUAGAACAUUAGGAAGGAAAAAAUUAUCCAGCAAAAAUAUGGAUGAAUACUCUUGGCUUCUCUCUCUUAAGUUUCUAAAUUAUGCUUGAUGAUUGAA